rnacentral:rRNA from 1 species
AUUGAACGCUGGCGGCAGGCCUAACACAUGCAAGUCGAGCGAGCGGCGGACGGGUGAGUAAUGUAUGGGGAUCUGACCGAUAGAGGGGGCUAACUACUGGAAACGGUGGCUAAUACCGCAUACUAUCGGCUGAGCCCAUAUGGGAUUAGCUAGUAGGUGGGGUAAAGGCUCACCUAGGCGACGAUCCCUAGCUGGUCUGAGAGGAUGACCAGCCACACGGGGACUGAGACACGGGCCAGACUCCUACGGGAGGCAGCAGUGGGGAAUAUUGCACAAUGGGCGAAAGCCUGAUGCAGCCAUGCCGCGGGGAUGAAGAAGGCCUUAGGGUUGUAAAGUACUUUCAGCGGGGAGGCGUUACCCGCAGAAGAAGCACCGGCUAACUCCGUGCCAGCAGCCGCGGUAAUAC